rnacentral:rRNA from 1 species
UACGUAGGCAGCAAGCGUUGUUCGGAAUUACUGGGCGUAAAGAGUGUGUAGGCGGUGCUCUAAGUUCGGUGUGAAAUCUCCCGGCUCAACUGGGAGGGUGCGCCGGAAACUGGGGUGCUGGAGUGCGGGAGAGGAAAGCGGAAUUCCUGGUGUAGCGGUGAAAUGCGUAGAUAUCAGGAGGAACACCGGCGGUGUAGACGGCGUUCUGGACCGUAGCUGACGCUGAGACACGAAAGCGUGGGUAGCAAACAGG